AAUAAGCGCAGCCAUGAAUUUCCGCGCCCAACUUUGAUCGUCCGUCUUAUUUAUAUUUUUUUCAUAAUUAGCAUUUUUAUUGUUAUGAGAUGAUAAAAUAUGAAUAGUACUUUACUUGUGACUUAUAUUUUUAAUUUUUUUUCUAAAAGUUUUCAAAUAAGAUGAACGGGUAAAGUUGGAUGCGGAAAAUCAUGGCUGCACUUAUU
rfam:Oryza glaberrima chromosome 6 Oglab06_0157_1, whole genome shotgun sequence.